UACGUAGGGGCCUAGCGUUGUCCGGAAUUAUUGGGCGUAAAGAGCUCGUAGGCGGUUCGGCAAGUCGGAUGUGAAAUCUCCACGCUUAACGUGGAGGGGCCAUUCGAAACUGCUGUGACUCGAGUCCGGUAGGGGAGUGUGGAAUUCCCGGUGUAGCGGUGAAAUGCGCAGAUAUCGGGAGGGACACCAGUAGCGAAGGCGGCACUCUGGGCCGGUACUGACGCUGAGGAGCGAAAGCGUGGGGAGCGAACAGG
rnacentral:rRNA from 1 species